GACAGAGGGUGCAAACGUUGUUCGGAAUUACUGGGCGUAAAGCGCGUGUAGGCUGCUUCGCAAGUCGGAUGUGAAAGCCCUGGGCUCAACCCAGGAAGUGUAUUCGAAACUGCAGAGCUGGAGUCCUGGAGAGGAAGGCGGAAUUCUCGGUGUAGAGGUGAAAUUCGUAGAUAUCGAGAGGAACACCGGUGGCGAAGGCGGCCUUCUGGACAGUGACUGACGCUGAGACGCGAAAGCGUGGGGAGCAAACAGGG
rnacentral:rRNA from 1 species